CCGAAGCCGUCACUUCCAUCCGCAGUUUUUUUGUGCUGUGCUCCGAACCCGAGUGGUCGAAGCACCACGAGAAGCUGCAGAUGGGAUGAGAGCGGC
rnacentral:pre_miRNA from 16 species